AUGGCCCAGGGUUGUGGCUCCGAUCUCUCUGCUCUCGCUGCACCAUUCGGGGGGUGCACCGCUUCCUUCCGUGACUGCUAUGGGGUAGGGGGUACCUCUGCUCCUCCACCCAGCUCCUCAUCUGCUGGUGAGCCCCCAGCCUGGAGCACCACCCUGGGAGUGAUGCUCUCUGGGGGGAUGCUGCCUUCCCCAGCAUUUCCUGGGCUGCUACCUGCUCCCUGCUCCCCACAGCUCCCCUCUUCCAGCUCCUCUCUGGAGGUUUCAUCCUCCAUCUCCGGGGGCCCUUCGGCUGGCUCCAGCCCCUCGCCGGGGGGCUCUGGGGCUCCGCCUGGCUCCGCCUUGGCCAUGCUCCCUGUGCCAGGCUGCCCACUGGCUCCCUGCUCCAGCCCUGGCCCGAGCUCUUCUGCCUCCAUAUCCCCUGUUGCCCCACAUUGCCCUACAGCCAGCUUUUCCAUCUCUGCUGCUGGGCUCUCUUCUUCUUUCUCCUCCUCCACCUUCUCCUUCUCCCUCUCCUCUUUUUCUCCCCCCUCCACCUUCUCCUCCUCUUCUUCCUCCUCCUCUCUCUCUUGUUGUUCUUCCUCCUCCUCCCUCUCCUCUUCCUCUUCCCCUUCUUCUCCCUCCUCCCCUCCUUCUUCCUCCUCCUCCUCCCUCUCCUCUUUUUCUUCCUCCUCCACCUUCUCCUCCUCUUCUUCCUCCUCCUCUUUCUCUUCUUUUUCUUCUUCCUCCUCCUUCCUCUCCUCUUUCUCUUCUCCCUCCACGUGUUCCUCUUCCCCCUCCACGUGUUCCUCUUCCACCUUCUCUCCCCCUUCCCCUUCUUCCCCUUCUUCCUCCACCUUCUCUCCCUCUUCCCCUUCCUCUUCCCCCUCCUCCUCCUCCUCCUCCUUCUCCCUCUCCUCUUUUUCUCCCCCCUCCACCUUCUCCUCCUCUUCUUCCUCCUCCUCUCUCUCUUGUUGUUCUUCCUCCUCCUCCCUCUCCUCUUCCUCUUCCCCUUCUUCUCCCUCCUCCCCUCCUUCUUCCUCCUCCUCCUCCCUCUCCUCUUUUUCUUCCCUCUCCACCUUCUCCUCCUCUUCUUCCUCCUCCUCUCUCUCUUUUUCUUCUUCCUCCUCCUCCCUCUCCUCUUCCUCUUCCCCUUCUUCUUCCUCCUCCCCCUCCUCCUCUUUCUUGUCUUCCUCCUCUGCCCCUAUCUCUGCUCCCCCCUCCUCCACCUUCUCCUCCUCUUCUUCCUCCUCCUCUCUCUCUUUUUCUUCUUCCCCCUCCUCCUCCUCCUCCUCCUCUUUAUCAUCUUCCUCCUCUGCCCCUAUCUCUGCUCCCCUGCUCUCUGGCUUUGCUCCACAGGUGCCCAGGUUUGCUUCUUCCCCCAAUUCUGUCCCAUCCCUCCCUUCCACCUCUGCUGGCUGCUCCUGGGCUGCUUCUCCUCCUGGUGCUUCUCCUUUACACCCAGCCCCGGGGGUCCCUUGUUCUGCUUGGUCAGCCCCUGGUUGUGCUGCUUCUUCGGUCGGUGCUGCUCCUUUACACCCGGCCCUGGGGGUCCCUUGUUCUGCUUGGUCAGCCCCUGGUUGUGCUGCUUCUUCGGUCCCUGCACCCUGCUCCCCUUGUCCAGGGGUCUCUGGGACCCCAACCUCACCCUGGGGUGCCUCUUUCUGCGGUGUCGCCCCGUUGCCUACCUCCCUGCUCUCCUGCCCCUCGCUGGCCCGUGGCCCCCGGGGCGGCUGGAAGAGACCUUGGUAG
rnacentral:lncRNA from 1 species